CAAAGCUCUGUUCUUGUGUUUUUUCCUCCCGUGAGACAGAACUCCGAAUCUUUAAAAUGGAAAGACCUUUUUACGCCAAAACUCCAUUUCAAAACUGUCGGUUCCAGCUCUCGUAGCUCAAAUUUUCGCUGCGGCCAAACAGAAAAUUAGCACAGCCAGAGCUUCCGCUCUUCGGAAUCACCCUAUGAACCAUAGACCCAUUCCAUAUUAGGCUGCUGAAUGUGGAUAAACAACUUACAUCUCCCACGUCAGCAGAUUGUGCUUAUGUACCCAGGAAAUGUCAAUUAUGAUUAUCUGGCUGGACAAAGGGGAAGAUGAGGAGGAAGAGGAAGAUGACAUGGACAAAGAUGCUAAUGAGUUUUGAUCAAAUCAGUUAUCUACCAAAAUAGUUUUGCUUGAAUAAAGGCUUGGCACAGCCAUAAAUUUGGCUUGGGUGAGAAGGAAAAUCAACAGGGCUUCAGAGAUUGUGAUAGGGGUACAAAGUAUGGAAUGAUGCCAGAAUGGCGUUAAUCUUUGCUGCUCAUUGGUUUAUCAAACCAAUUCUACACAAAAUCGAUAAGCAUGGGAUUAAAAUGACUAUCUUCUACCUGCAUGCUACAUGAGAAACUCAACAAUAUUAACACCCAUAAUCCCUGAUGUUCCUGGAAGCUUGCUCCAUAAUUCACAACUUUGACACUUGGUUGAUUCCUUCAAUUUCCUUAUCCCUCUUAUCCUUAUCCCUCUUAAACUUUGAUCAAGUUGACCUAUCUGUUCUUAAAGUAUUCAUUUCGGUGCUUGCAAUUAAGUUAUGAUGCCUUGUCAUCGCACACAUCCUUUUUUUUUGUUUUGAAGAAUUGGGAUCCACAUUGUUUGGAUCAUUCUUAAAAGUGGAAGUGGCAAGGAUAU